CUAACCCCUAUACACCGUGAAGAUGCCGCACUGGGAGCGCUCCGUAGCCCAGCGAGCGACACGUGGCGCCACGGGUGGGGGACGCCCGACACUGGUCCUGUUCUCCGUGUCACCGCCUUUUGCGGUCGCUGCGUCGCGGGCCCGGUGCUCCAGCCGCACCGCCUCUCGCUCCUGUGCCCGCAGGUCAGGCCCCGUGAACCCGCACCCGCCUCCACGGGCGCCGCGGCUUUUUGCUGCGCCACUUCUCCUUCUCCAGCCCAUCUCCCGGCGGCGAGCUAGGGUUUCGGGAGAGGGCGCCGUCGCCGUGAACGGGGCCUUUUUCGUUCGGGGAGCCCGUCGGCGGCGAGCGCGCGGCUGGUGCCUCGGCCCGCCGGCCCCGCCGCUUUCUCCGUCCUCCGGCUGCGCUCCCGCAGCCCAAACGAUCCCUGCAUUCUCCGUCUAAGCUCUUCACACUGGUAAGGUCAAAUCUCUCAAGAUCUGUGCGUUUUUGCGAAAUCCGAAUCCGUCGGCCUUUGCGUUUGUCCUCCUAUUUCUUGCUAAUGCUUGCAUUCCUAUUUCGUGUACCCGUUUUGUGCCUUUCUGUUCGCUGCCGGCUCCGUCUGCGCUCCUGUGACUUGCUUCGUCUUCCUGGGGUCCCUGAUUCGACCGCUGUGGUGUCUGCAUCGGGUGUCCAGCCUGGUGGACGCGUUGCUGUCGGUCAUCUCCUCUUGCGCUUCGUUAGGUCUGGGUGCUUAGCCUGUUCGCCGCGCUCCCGUUGGUCAUUUUCUCUUGCAGUUUGUCAGGUGCGCGGUACUGUUUACAUCUCUAGACAGCUCAUCCUCAAACAAGUUAUGAAUGAUCUCAAACUGAAAGUGCACGGCUCAGGCUUUGACUCCACCCUGGAAACCCUUAACAUGGAACACAGCGUGGCUGCAUGUUGAUCUGCCAUGCGGAAACAAGGGUGGUGCAGAUUCGGGCACUGUGAUCUUUGGCAAUCCAAAGCCUUCUCGCAAUGAGGCUGCUGAGAGUGCAUGCCAGGCAGUCCUUGACUACUACUGCAGUGCUAGAGAUGUGAAAAUUGAUGACUUUAGUAGUACUGUUCUCAAGAAAAAGCAAGAGGGGUUGGAUGCAAGCAAAUUCUUUUGUGCUGCCAUGCAAGAUAAAGUGGUUCGGCUGGUCCUAGAAAGGAAUGCUGCUGUCGAUGCUGUUCAAAAACUCGCUCAGAACAUAGAUGUCAAGCUUCAGCCUUUAAGUGAGACAAUCAUCAAACAGAAACAAGAUCAACUCAACAAUGAUUGCUACUAUGAAAUUCUGCAGGACAAGAUAACUACUCUUCUUAGGGAUCGUAGUGUUCAGAAAGUUCGCUACAGCAGCAUGAUCCAUGACAUAAAUAGUGUCUGUGACAAAUUUGGUGAUGUUCUGCCACUGAAAAAGGUUAAAGCUGAGCAGACCCUCUCUGAACACACUCAAACUGGUUUCAGCUUCACCGGCAACCAGAACAAUCCAUCCCGCGUUGAUGAGCUUGCUUUGUCCCUCCUAAAGAUCCUUGGAGAUGGAAUGCUCAAUGAGAUCAAGCACGACACCACUCCGCUCUGAGGAGGCAGACCGCCGGCCAUUGUAUAUACCCCACCGUUCCUACUACCUAAGACCGAAUACUUUUGACUGCUUAAGCUCCUAUGGAUGCUAAGCAAAGUAUAGCAAUUCUUUUGGCUGUGGCCUUUGUCUGCUAGCAGCAACUCAACAAGCACCACAGCAAGUAAACCAAUAUUCUUUUGGGUGUUCCAUAAUGGGACACCACCUAUAGCACUGAUCCAAGCUAGGAUUCAGAGCACAUCUUUGUGUCAACUUUGCAGACAGGGUCUCGGAAACCAGCUUCAAAAUCAUGAAACCAUACUGGAUCAAGCCAUCUCAAAAGACUCCUAACCUGAACAUGGUAGUGAACUACUUGCUGGUUUCACCUUUGUGUGCCUUUAGUUGACAGGAAAUGGUGUUACAGCUAUGUGUUAUAGGGAACGUUGCCUGUGCUGCCAUAUAUUAUCUCAUCAUCGCAGCUAUGGCUGUUGGAUGCGGCUAGAAAUUUUUAGGUGAUUCUGUAGCACAGUUAAUGUACUCUGUCACUAUUCCAUGGACCUGAAAAUUUCUAACUAAGCCUCUAUUA